UUCAAAAAGUCUCGUGGUGGAACAUCUGACCCUUUUCAAGAGGAAGGAUGAAAACUCUACAUAGGAACACGAUGUGAAUGGAAGAAACCUGUCAUUAGAUGCAAAUAGUACGGUAUUCCGAACAGACACUAAAAAUAGCUGUCAUCUCAAAGAAUCCAGUGCUUGUGUCACAGUAUGAGAAAGUAGAUGCUGGGGAACAGCGUUUAAUGAAUGAAGCAUUCCAGCCAGCCAGUGAUCUCUUUGGACCUUGCAUUCUCCAUCAGAUUGGAUCACCUCCCACCCUGAGGCCCCCCAAGACUUUGAACAGUUCUUCAGUCAUCCUUACAGAAAGAUACCCUCUCCAGACAAACGCAGUAUUUAUAUACGGUCCAUUGGAUCUCUAUGAAGCACCAGAAUUAUCAGUGAAGAAUAUAUUAAAUGGCUCACGGGCUACUGUAAAGCAUAUUUCUAUCGCUUGAGAGUAAAACUGCUAGAACCAGUUCCUGUUUCUACAACAAGGUGUUCCUUUAGAGUCAAUGAGAACACACAAAACCUACAAAUUCAUGCAGGGGACAUCCUGAAGUUCUUGAAAAAGAAGAAACCUGAAGAUGCCUUCUGUGUUGUGGGAAUAACAAUGAUUGAUCUUUACCCAAGAGACUUGUGGAAUUUUGUCUUUGGACAGGCCUCUUUGACAGAUGUCUGAAACUUCAGUUUCUCAAGUAUUUGACCUCCAGCCCAUUAAGUUUUACAAGACAAGGCAUGGUGGAUAGCAGCAAAGGAUUUUGAUAGGGAAAUCUGGGGCUUCUUCCACUUGGAAGAAGCUGACCGGCGCCCUCUAAACCUUUGCCCUAUCUGUUUGCACAAGUUGCAGUGUGCUGUUAUUGGCUUCAGCAUUGUAGAAAGAUAUAAAAGGCACUGGUGAGGUGGAUUGAUGAUGAAUCUUCUGGCACACCUGGAGCAACUCCAGAACACAGUCGUGAGGAUAAUGGGAAUUUACUGAAACCCGUGGAAGGAAGCCUUUAAGGAAUGGAAAGAGUGGAUAAUAAAAUGCCUGACUGUUCUCCAAAAAUAAGGACCUUCAAAUAGGAGUGAUUGAAAUAAAUGACUACUUGCAUGUUAUGCUUUCAUUUGGGUGGAAUACUUCAUCAGAAUAAACUAUUGAUCUUGUGCUGUGUCAAAGUAACAGACUAGAACCUUCUUUCAAGUACCUGAAUUGAAAUGAAA
rnacentral:lncRNA from 1 species